rnacentral:lncRNA from 1 species
CCAUCCUUUUCAGAAAGAAGAAUCAGAAGCAGUGUGUGUUCAUAUGGGAAGGGCAGCAUAUAAUGGUUUUGCCCUGUGCUAUGUUAACUAAGGCUCUUUUUCCUGUAGAACAUUAUCUUGGUCCACUGUCUCAAUGACAUCAUGUUAAUUGGACUGGAUGAGGAAGAAAUGGCAAGUGCAUUGGAGGUUUUGGUAAGACACAUACAUGUACUCCAAAGAACAGAAGAUGCAUCUAAUGAAGAUUCAAGGACCUGACAUAUCCGUUUUUAGGAAUAUAGCCAUUUGGGACAUGCCAGAACAGCUUUUUGAAAGAAAAGGACAGUCUAAUGCCUCUCAUAUUGUGCACCCCUAAGAAAGAAGCACAGCUUUUUAAAGGCUUCUUUGGGUUCUAGGGACAGCAUAUUUCAUACUUGGAAAUACUGUUUCAACUCAUUCGCCAAGUGACACAAAAGAUUACCAACUUCAUUUGAGACUUCAAGCAAAAAAGAGCUCUGCUACGUGAUUUGCCACCGGAACUUGGUAGAUGGAAAAUAUGAGAGCUCAACUGACCAUGCAGCCAGAACUGCCCAUCCUAACUUAGGUAUUUCCAACCUCCAUCAAAUCAUAAGGUUGAGCUAAACCAAUAGCAAUCCACUGUAAGAUCGAAGUGAUAUAUCUGGAAUUGGGAAUUGGCAGAGACAAAAGGCAGAAGUUAAGUUUCAGAGGGCACGGACCUCCAAAUAACCUACCAUUGUUAUGCUAUCACCUUUCCCUAAGCUCACCCCUGUUAUACUGUCACCUUUCCCUAAGCUCACCCCUGUUAUACUGUCACCUUUCCCUAAGCUCACCGUUAUACUGUUGCCUUUCCCUAUAGCCACGUAGGCAUCCCUUUUGACUGACUGACAAAGGAAGAAAAAGUUACACCUGGGUCAUGAAUGGGUUGGCUCUCUAUGGGGGUCCAAGCUGAGAAAGCACUGUUGCUACUCUACAGUUCCACCUUUGGUGUGAGUAGAUAUUCCAUAAUAUUUCUGUAAACCUUCUGAUGGUGUCCCUGAGAGACAGCAAUGAGGAGUAACACUCUCAAUGUUUAGAGGAUCAGAUGGUCACAGCCAUUUUUAUGGCUGGAGGUAAGAAUAAAUAGGAACUUACAGGAAGUAACCUCUCGUUUGGCUGAUUGGAUGGGGGCUUGGAAGAAGAGCGAUAGAAAGAUCAUAGAAAAAAAGAUCUGGGAAAGAGGCAUGUGCCUCUGCCUGUGGCUGUAGAUUGGAAGUUUGAAUAUCUUUGCAUCUCAUGGCACUGCCCGCAAGGAAACAUUCACCAAGAAUGAGGCAUUAAACAGCCGUGUAGACAGCAUGACUCAGCCAGUUGAUGUCAUCAGCAUUUCAUUGCCCAAUGCUGGCCUGAUGGAUGCAUGAAGAAACUGAUCAUUGCUGAGGGAUGGGCUCAGUGGCAUUUGUCCUCACUAACCAAGGCUGAUUUAGGUAUUGUUCUCCAACUCCAUCUAGCUGCUGAUUCCCCAAAUUGCUAGCAAAAGAGAUCAUUACUGAGUCUCUGGUACAGCAAAAUCCCUCAGGGAAACCAACCAGCCGCUCAGUGGCAAGUUGAUUACACUGGAACCUUUCUAUCCUGGAAAAGGUAGUGAUUCAUCUCGACUGGAAAAGUCACAUAUUGUGGUAUGAGUUUCCUUUUCCUACCACAAGGCCUCAGCUAGCACCAUCAGAAGAACGGAAUAUCUACCCACACCAUAUAUGGUGUAACAUAGCCUCAGACCAAACAACAAUGUUGUAGGAGUGUACACAUAACCAUGUAUCUAUUGGUUCUGUUACAUUCUGCACCACUCUGAAGUUGCAGGUCUGAAAGAUAAUGGAAUUGACUUUUGAAGGAGCAGCUUAGAUACUGGCUUGCAGAUGAUACCUUGCACAGAUGAGGCAUUAUCUUUCAGGAUGUAAUAUAUACCCUAAAUCAAAGACCCUUUUACAGUUCUAUUCUCCAGUGGGUCCAGGAUGGCUCUACUUAUCAUCACUACCAGUGAAUGACUCAGUUGAGAAAUGUUUCCUCAAUAAUGCAUGUUUUGGUUCUGUGGAUUCUAAACUAGGUUCUGGAUUCUAAAGUGGAAAUUGUUUUACCAGGGGGCCCAGUAAGAGUCCCAUUAAACUUUAAACUAUGGCUACUGUAGGGUCAUUUAAGUUUCUUCAUGUCAAGAGUCCAGUAAGCAAUAAAAGAAAACAAUGUUGGUAGAGAAAUGGACAAGUACAGCAGCCACAGUAUGGUGUGGUUACCAGAAGCCUAGGCACUCAGGGAUGACUGUCUGGGUAACCCCACCAGUUUCCCAGAAAAAGAGACCAACCAGAAACUUGAAGGAGUUCUUCCCAGAUGGAAUAAAUUUACCGUGUGAAUCACGUGAAUCCAAGGGAUGCAAGGAUUGGCCUAUACUGGAUUGGAUGCUCUGGUAUACUACUCAGAUUUCCUCUUCAGAACUAAUGCAUUUAUCCCCCAGCUAUGAAAUUGUUGGCUGCUGGCAGUCUAUAGCUAAUGCAGUCACUGGAAAUUAUCCUUGGUUGAAGGGACCUAACUUGUCCAAGUCUACACCUAUUUCCAGGAAUAGUUCAAUCCAUUGACUUGUUGAUGCAGGACUACACAGGUCAAGCCUUCUUGUUUUGAUGUGGACAAAUCUGAAGGGAUAUCCCAGCUCCAGACCUCGCAUAGGUCUGAGCUAAAGAGACCUCAUAGGUCUGUGUCAAUUUCUGUCUUUACCCAGUCCUGCUUCUCUCAUUCCUUUAUAGGUGUUGUUCUGGAACUUCCUAAUAAACCAGCUGCAUGCAAAUAUCUGCCUCAGAGUUUGUUUUCUAAAAAGACUUCUCCUAAGGUAGAAGGAAAACUCUCCCUGCUUCCAGGCUUUUGAACAUGCUAACUACUAGGAGUAUCCUCGUCCAUCCUCCUGAGCUUUACCUAAUCCAGUGACUUCUUUUGAUUACACAGAAUUCUCCCCAGGAGUCUCUAAAAGACAAUAAAACCAGGAUGUAACCCUUGGAAGAUUGAUACAUAAGAGUAGGUGGGAAAAGAAGUAGGUACAAGGAUAGAGGGAAAGAUAGGCUGGAGAUGAGAAAAGUUCCCUUAAAACGUUGC